CAGUUCGGACUGUGGUCUGCAACUCGACCACACGAAGCUGGAAUCGCUAGUAAUCGCGAAUCAGCAUGUCGCGGUGAAUACGUUCCCGGGUCUUGUACACACCGCCCGUCACACCAUGGGAGUCAGCAACGCCCGAAGUCAGUGACCUAACCGAGAGGAAGGAGCUGCCGAAGGCGGGGCAGGUAACUGGGGUGAAGUCGUAACAAGGUACC
rnacentral:rRNA from 1 species